rnacentral:rRNA from 1 species
GUACACUCCUGCGGGAGGCAGCAGUGGGGAAUAUUGGACAAUGGGCGCAAGCCUGAUCCAGCCAUGCCGCGUGAGUGAUGAAGGCCCUAGGGUUGUAAAGCUCUUUCACCGGUGAAGAUAAUGACGGUAACCGGAGAAGAAGCCCCGGCUAACUUCGUGCCAGCAGCCGCGGUAAUACGAAGGGGGCUAGCGUUGUUCGGAUUUACUGGGCGUAAAGCGCACGUAGGCGGACUAUUAAGUCAGGGGUGAAAUCCCGGGGCUCAACCCCGGAACUGCCUUUGAUACUGGUAGUCUUGAGUUCGAGAGAGGUGAGUGGAAUUCCGAGUGUAGAGGUGAAAUUCGUAGAUAUUCGGAGGAACACCAGUGGCGAAGGCGGCUCACUGGCUCGAUACUGACGCUGAGGUGCGAAAGCGUGGGGAGCAAACAGGAUUAGAUACCCGAGUAGUCCCA